UACAGAGGUCUCAAGCGUUGUUCGGAUUCAUUGGGCGUAAAGGGUGCGUAGGUGGCGCCGUAAGUCAGGUGUGAAAUUUCGAGGCUUAACCUCGAAACUGCAUUUGAUACUGCGGUGCUUGAGGACUGGAGAGGAGACUGGAAUUCAUGGUGUAGCAGUGAAAUGCGUAGAGAUCAUGAGGAAGACCAGUGGCGAAGGCGGGUCUCUGGACAGUUCCUGACGCUGAGGCACGAAGGUCAGGGGAGCAAACGGG
rnacentral:rRNA from 1 species